CUUCACAGAACCUCAGGAUUGUUAGAGCCUGAAGGGACCUCUGGAAAUCAUCCAGUCCAACUGUCCUGCCAAGGCACGGUCACCCAGAACAGGUGACACAGGAACGUGUCCAGAAAUUUUAAUUCAUCUUUGUGAAACACUAAAUUGCACGAGCUCUUCCCAGGACAGCUGGGCAUGGAGCAGAACAGGGAGCAAACCCAUCACUCCAAGCAGACUUCUAAGAAAGGACUGAAGGGAUGGAAAAUGUGCAAGGGAAUGCGUGAGGUGCUGGAUGGUGAAUUCCCACCACUGGAGUACAGAGAAGAUCAUGACUGAAUCACACAUGGAGCAAGUUUAUUCUCAGUCAUCAGAAUGGCAGAGUGGGAGAGAAGCAAGUGGCUGAAUUCCAAGAAAGCCAUGGAGGGCAAGAGAAGGUUCAAACGACUUGUUUUUAAGUCAUCCUGGAUCCAGAAGAUGAUGUGGGGUUACCACAGCUACAGCUACACCAGAAAGACAAGGCCACAUGCUGGAAUGGAAUUACUGGCAAGCAUGUCACUAAUUACCUGGGGAGUCACAGGGCCUUCUGCAAAACAGACUGGAGAGACACUCCAAGUCCAAGCAAGUGUCAGUUCUGAACAAAGGAACUUGCAAGAAGCUUUUCCUCUGGACACACACAUAAUCCUUCUGGAUUUUUGGGGAGG